CGUCUAUAUACGUAUAGCAUAUCAAUAAGCGGAGGAAAAGAAACUAACUAGGAUUCCCUCAGUAACGGCGAGUGAAGCGGGAAGAGCUCAAAUUUGAAAUCUUCAAGGUUCUACCUUGACGAAUUGUAGUUUAAAGAAGUGUUUUCUGUUGGAGUUUUGGUAAAAGUUCUUUGGAAUAGGACAUCAUAGAGGGUGAGAAUCCCGUAUUUGACCAUUAUUUCCAACUUUGUGAUACACUUUCAAAGAGUCGGAUUGUUUGGGAAUGCAGUCCAAAAUGGGUGGUAAAUUUCAUCUAAAGCUAAAUACUGGCGAGAGACCGAUAGCGAACAAGUACCGUGGGGGAAAGAUGAAAAGAACUUUGAAAAGAGAGUUAAACAGUACGUGAAAUUGUCAAAAGGGAAGCGUUUGACACCAGUGUUGUUUUCUCGAAAAUCAAUUAAAAAUGGUGGGAUUUUGUGUUGUAUUGACUUUAUCAGCUUUCUGCACUUUUUUCCUGUCUUUUUUAAUGCACUUUUCGUUUAACAAGUCAACAUCAAUUUCUUUUGUUGUAAAAGGGUCAUUGGAAGGUGGCUUUCUUUUCGGAGAAAGUGUUUAUAGCCUUUGACUUCUGCAAUCGGAGAGAUUGAGGUCUGCAGCGUAGAUCCUUCGGGGUUAGAUACAUUUGUGCUAAGCUAUAGCCUUUCAUAGACAACUUGUUGACUAUGAUCAGUCAUGUAGCUUACUCGCUUAUGUCAUUUUACCUACGCUUAGGAUGUUGACGAUCAGCUGAGCGCG
rnacentral:rRNA from 1 species